UUCAGCUGUUCUCUUUAAAUAACUUACACCACCUCCCCAGAACUUGCACAAGCCCUUCCACUUUCUACAACUGUCCAGAACUUCCCACUUUCGAUUAAUCCUAAAUCGUGAAUAAAAAUCAAACAGACAUCACCUUGCCAGAGAUCAUCAUAAACUAAUCAAUUGGUCUUCUUCAUCAACCCAACCCCUUCUUUCUCUGCAUUUCUACGAUUUUAUUAGUAUCAUCGUGGAUCCACAUGUAUCUGGAGUCACGAGCAAGAUAAAAACACUGAUUGUGAUGCUGACAGGGGGAGCAAGAUACAUGUUUGUAGUGAAUGAUGACUAUGCUCACACGAAAUAAUAUGGACAUUCAUUAUCAUCAACAGCUAGAGAAAUGAGACCUUCUUGCCUAAUUCCUCAAAACAGUCAGUUUGAUUGGGAAAAAUGCAACUGAAUAGAUGUACUUGCUGCGUUUCUGCUAUGUGAAAUUAUAAAGAGUUGCAUACAAAAAAUAGGGAACCAAUGUCAAACAAUGAUACUAUGGGAAUUGGUGGAAGCGCAUUCCUCCAAGUUGUACACUCAACAGCCACUAUCAGCCAACUUGCAGGAAAUAUGAAAUCAAUGGUGGUAACAACGGACUUCACAUGUAGUAUAUAGUGAUGGAAGGAGAAAAUGAGUCAAUGAGUGGUGGGUUUUCUACAUUUGGUCGUACCAAUUGCACCAACGAAUUUUUGAAGGGGCCACAGUUGGAAGCAACUAUGAAAUUGAUAAUGCAGUAUCUAACAAAGGGCAGGGAGCGUGUUAAUUCAGGAGGAAGGAUGUGGUAUUUGAAGAUGAACAAUUAGCUUUGUUUUAGUAAACAGAAUACCCCGCCUACUUGGGUCCAGUAUUCCUUCAUUAAUGCUCCAGAGCUGAUGGUGUUUUAAGUUAGUAAUUUUAUUAUUGUUGACCUUGAAUGAAAUUCAUCCUCAUUUUGUAAAUUGCAAAAAAUAUCAUAGGCCAAAAAUUUGUACUAGGAGAUUAGCAUUUCAGUGUAGAAAUCUCCUUGCAUCAUACAAAAUGGUACGCAUUGUAAAGUCCAAAGCUAUGUGGACUUUCAGAUUAGCAUUUCAGUUUAUAAAGUUAUG